UCUUCUUUUUCUUCUUUUUCUUCUUCUUCUUCUUCUUCUUCUUCUUCUUCUUCUUUCUCCUCCUCCUCCUCCUCCUCUUCUUUUUCUUCUUUCUUUUCUCUCUCUCCUCCUCUCCUCUUUCUUCUUCUUCUUAUUCUUCUUCUCCUUCUUCUUCUUCUUCUUCUUCUUCUUUUUUCUUCUAGUUUUUUCUUCUAUUAUUUUCUUCUAAGUUUUUU
rnacentral:lncRNA from 1 species